rnacentral:rRNA from 1 species
GAUGAACGCUGGCGGCGUGCCUAAUACAUGCAAGUCGAGCGAACGGACGAGAAGCUUGCUUCUCUGAUGUUAGCGGCGGACGGGUGAGUAACACGUGGAUAACCUACCUAUAAGACUGGGAUAACUUCGGGAAACCGUAGCUAAUACCGGAUAAUAUUUUGAACCGCAUGGUUCAAAAGUGAAAGACGGUCUUGCUGUCACUUAUAGAUGGAUCCGCGCUGCAUUAGCUAGUUGGUAAGGUAACGGCUUACCAAGGCAACGAUGCAUAGCCGACCUGAGAGGGUGAUCGGCCACACGGGAACUGAGACACGGUCCAGACUCCUACGGGAGGCAGCAGUAGGGAAUCUUCCGCAAUGGGCGAAAGCCUGACGGAGCAACGCCGCGUGAGUGAUGAAGGUCUUCGGAUCGUAAACCUCUGUUAUUAGGGAAGAACAUAUGUGUAAGUAACUGUGCACAUCUUGACGGUACCUAAUCAGAAAGCCACGGCUAACUACGU